UUCCGGUUGAUCCUGCCGGACCUGACUGCUAUCGGAUUGAUACUAAGCCAUGCGAGUCAUUGUAGUAAUACAAGGCAGACGGCUCAGUAACGCGUAGUCAACCUACCCUAUGGACGGGAAUAACCUCGGGAAACUGAGAAUAAUGCCCGAUAGAACACUAUACCUGGAAUGGUUUGUGUUCCAAAUGAUUUAUCGCCAUAGGAUGGGACUGCGGCCUAUCAGUUUGUUGGUGAGGUAAUGGCCCACCAAGACUAUUACAGGUACGGGCUCUGAGAGGAGUGGCCCGGAGAUGGGUACUGAGACACGGACCCAGGCCCUAUGGGGCGCAGCAGGCGAGAAAACUUUGCAAUGUGCGAAAGCACGACAAGGUUAAUCCGAGUGGUUUCUGCUAAAGGAACCUUUUGUCGGUCCUAGAAACACCGAUGAAUAAGGGGUGGGCAAGUUCUGGUGUCAGCCGCCGCGGUAAAACCAGCACCUCAAGUUGUCCGGAUGAUUAUUGGGCCUAAAGCAUCCGUAGCCGGCUCUGUUAGUUUUCGGUUAAAUCUGUACGCUUAACGUACAGGCUGCCGGGAAUACUGCAGAGCUAGGGAGUGGGAGAGGUAGACGGUACUCGGUAGGAAGGGGUAAAAUCCUUUGAUCUAUUGAUGACCACCUGUGGCGAAGGCGGUCUACCAGAACACGUCCGACGGUGAGGGAUGAAAGCUGGGGGAGCAAACCGGAUUAGAUACCCGGGUAGUCCCAGCUGUAAACUAUGCAAACUCAGUGAUGCAUUGGCUUGUGGCCAGUGCAGUGCUGCAGGGAAGCCGUUAAGUUUGCCGCCUGGGAAGUACGUACGCAAGUAUGAAACUUAAAGGAAUUGGCGGGGGAGCACCACAAGGGUGAAGCCUGCGGUUCAAUUGGAUUCAACGCCGGAA
rnacentral:rRNA from 1 species